UACAGAGGUCUCAAGCGUUGUUCGGAUUCAUUGGGCGUAAAGGGUGCGUAGGCGGCGCGGUAAGUCGGGUGUGAAAUUUCGAGGCCUAACUUCGAAACUGCACUCGAUACUGCCGUGCUUGAGGACUGGAGAGGAGACUGGAAUUUACGGUGUAGCGGUGAAAUGCGUAGAUAUCGUAAGGAAGACCAGUGGCGAAGGCGGGUCUCUGGACAGUUCCUGACGCUGAGGCACGAAGGUCAGGGGAGCAAACGGG
rnacentral:rRNA from 1 species